GAUGAAGAACGUAGCGAAAUGCGAUAAGUAAUGUGAAUUGCAGAAUUCAGUGAAUCAUCGAAUCUUUGAACGCACAUUGCGCCCGCCAGCAUUCUAGCGGGCAUGCCUGUUCGAGCGUCAUUUCAACCCUCGAGCCCCCCCGGGGGCCUCGGUGUUGGGGGACGGCACACCAGCCGCCCCCGAAAUGCAGUGGCGACCCCGCCGCAGCCUCCCCUGCGUAGUAGCACACACCUCGCACCGGAGCGCGGAGGCGGUCACGCCGUAAAACGCCCAACUUUCUUAGAGUUGACCUCGGAUCAGGUAGGAAUACCCGCUGAACUUAAGCAUAUCAAUAAGCGGAGGA
rnacentral:misc_RNA from 1 species